rnacentral:lncRNA from 1 species
CAACGGACUGCUGCAGGCACCGAGACGCAUUAAUAAAUGAUGCCUUCCGUUAAAGGCUCCCUCCAACUCCAGCUGUGGGUGCAGAAGCCCCGGAAGCAGGCGGAGCAGGCCAGGUGCCGGCAGAGGGCGCAUCUCCAGCCGGAAGCCAGAGAGGCUUCCACCUGGCCACGGGGAAAUUCAGGACUGCGCCUCCGUGGCAAGGUUUUAUCUCCCUCGGCUUCAGCUGAUAAACAGCGCCUAUCAGGCGCGUACAUGUGGAAGUCAGAGACAUUGAAAACACACAGGGUUCAAGUGUUUUGCACCACGCGGUGUUUACAGGAAAAGGAAAGCCUGGUGAGUCAUCCUUCUGUUUUUAAAUGGUAACUACUAAAAAUUUAUAUGUGCACAUUGCCACUCUGUGCAUUUAAAUUGACCAAACAUUAAUGUGUUCAGAGGAUGACGUGUGAACAGAAUGCUACUUACUAAGGAACUGUAAUAGAGUGAUUUCAAAAGGCCCAUGAGAAGAUGGAGAAUUAGAAAGAUAUUUUGCUUUAGCCGUUUCGUUUUUAUCCACCUGGAAGAAAGCAGGGAUCACGCAGGUCACCAUCAUCAGUAAUCAGGAAUUACAGCAAACCCAAUCCCAGUGACAGUUUGUCCAUAGACCAUGAUGUGGGCUGUAGCCUAAAAUAAGGGAGAGGAAGCAGGGCUUGAGGAGGACAGAAGACAGCCGUGAUGCUGGUAGAGAAUUUGAGCUGUAGCUUUUCCAGUGCUCUGCUACUCUCCUUCCAGUGGGGGUGCUACACAAAUUACUUUAGAGUUGUGUCAAACCACACUUUUGCAGAGUUCCUCAACUUGGCGUCAUCAGCAGACCACAUGAGCCUGCCUUCUGUGAAUUCCUUCAAGUGAUGCAAAUAUUGAACAGAAGGGGACCUACUAGUCUGUGUCAAGGAAUGUUCCUCCAGGGUGACACUGUUUCAUUAAUCAGUAUUCUUCCACAUAGUAAACAAAAUGUGAGUCCUGCUAAUUGCUACAGUACAACUCCCAUUUCUUGUGUUGUUUAUGAGACCCGGACUUGCCAACUGACUGGCUAAAUACAGACACACUUGGCUAUUUUUUUUUUUUUUUUCUGAGGUAGAAGGAUGCAGCUCUGAGGUAGAGGCUUUCAAGUUAGCUUGCCUGGGUUUGAGUCCUGGCUCAACUAUGUACUAUUAGCUAUAUGUCUUUGAGCAAGUUACCUACCUUCUCUGUGCCUUGGUUUCCUCAUCAGUAAAAUGGGGAUAACAACAGUGUGUGGGUUCCUGUGAGGAUGGAACGAGUUAGUGACAAGUGUGCAUGCCUAGAGCAGCGCUGAGGCCACAGUUGGUGCUGUCCCGGUGUUUGCGAUGGCUGUCAUUAUCACCACUGGGCCCCUUUCCCCAGAGAAAUGGUGCGCCUGUUUAUUGUUGGUAUUCAACCUGUGUUGACACGCAGUGAUCACUGUUCACUUUGAAGUGCAGAGAAAAAUAAAGAUUUAAAAAUCGGCUAUAGAAUUUUCCUG